GAAUCUGCCUUCAGGUCGGGGACAACCACUGGAAACGGUGGCUAAUACCCGAUGUGCGCAACGUGAAAGAUUUAUCGCCUGAAGAGGAGCUCGCGUCUGAUUAGCUAGUUGGUGGGGUAAAAGCUCACCAAGGCGACGAUCAGUAGCUGGUCUGAGAGGAUGAUCAGCCACACUGGGACUGAGACACGGCCCAGACUCCUACGGGAGGCAGCAGUGGGGAAUUUUCCGCAAUGGGCGAAAGCCUGACGGAGCAAGACCGCGUGAGGGAGGAAGGCUCUUGGGUUGUAAACCUCUUUUCUCAGGGAAGAACAAAAUGACGGUACCUGAGGAAUCAGCCUCGGCUAACUCCGUGCCAGCAGCCGCGGUAAUACGGAGGAGGCAAGCGUUAUCCGGAAUUAUUGGGCGUAAAGCGUCCGCAGGUGGCACUUCAAGUCUGUCGUCAAAGACUGGGGCUUAACCCUGGAAAGGCGGUGGAAACUGAAGCGCUAGAGUGUGGUAGGGGUAGAGGGAAUUCCCGGUGUAGCGGUGAAAUGCGUAGAGAUCGGGAAGAACAUCGGUGGCGAAAGCGCUCUACUGGACCACAACUGACACUCAGGGACGAAAGCUAGGGGAGCG
rnacentral:rRNA from 1 species